rnacentral:rRNA from 1 species
UUAAAAUUGUAGCCAAACAAACCUAAACUACCAAAAAACAAAACAAACCAUUUAAUUUAAUAGUAUGGGCGAUAGAAAUUUGCUAUGAGCAAUAAAAAAGUACCGCAAGGGAAAGAUGAAAUAAAAAUGAAAUAAAUAAUAAAAACAAAGAAAAGAAAAGACUAAACCCUGUACCUUUCGCAUAAUGGUCUAGUAAGUUCAACCUAACAAAAAGAAAUAAAGUUAGCCACCCCGAAACUAGGCGAGCUACUUAAGAGCAGCAUAACCAGAGCUAACCCGUCUCUGUGGCAAAAGAGUGGGGCGACUUUUAAGUAGAGGUGAAAAGCCUAACGAGCCUAGUGAUAGCUGGUUGCUUGAGAAAUGAAUAUAAGUUCAGCUUAAAGUAUUUUUAAUAAUUAAAAAUAAAUAUGGCACUUUAAAGUUAAUUAAUAGGGGUACAGCCCUAUUAAUAAAGGAUACAACCUACAUAAUGAAUAAAGAUUAUAUUAACAAAAGAAAUUAACCAUGUAGGCCUAAAAGCAGCCACCAUAAGAAAGCGUCAAAGCUCAACUUACAAUCCUCCCCUUAUUAUACUAAUAAAAAAAUCUAAAUUCACAAAAACAUAUCAAGCCUAUCUACUAGUAGAUGAGUUUAUACUAGAAUGAGUAACAAGAACAAAUUCUCUACAUGCAAGCGUAAAUCAGAACGAAAAAAUCACUGAUAAUUAACAAUUUAAAAUACUCAUCAACGAGAAAAACACAUUAAAACAAUUGUUAACCCAACACAGGAGCAUUAAAAAAGAUUUAAAGAUUAAAAAGGAACUCGGCAAUCACAGAGCUCCGCCUGUUUACCAAAAACAUCGCCUCUUGCCCCCCCAAUAUAAGAGGUCCCGCCUGCCCAGUGAUUAAUUUUAACGGCCGCGGUAUCAUGACCGUGCAAAGGUAGCGUAAUCACUUGUCUUUUAAAUAAAGACCUGUAUGAAAGGCAAAACGAAAGCUCAACUGUCUCUUUAAUCUAAUCAGUGUAAAUUAAUGCUCUUCUGUGC